UUGGGGUCGGAUUUGAGAACUUUUGAUAUGUAUGAACUCGUGGGGAGAUAAGGAAUCUAUUGAGGUAAAAAUUAUUGAAUUCCGAGAUGUGGGCCUGGGGGUCGGGUUUUGGUAAUUUCAGGAAUUGUGUUGUAUUUUGAUUAUUUUCACUUGGGAUUCGUUCCCUUAGCAUAUUUUGACGCCCUCGUUCUGAUUUUGGAUAGAUUUGACGCGAGUGGAGGCCGAUUUGAGGGGCAAAGGUGUCGCGAGUUAGAGAUUUGACCGGUUCAAGGUGAGUAAUGAUUGUAAAUGAUGUUCUGAGGGUUUGAAACCCACAAUUGCACAUCGUAGUGCUAUAUUGAGGUGAGGCACACGCUUGAUGAUGAGCGUGGGGUCAUGCACUAUUGGGAAGUGUGACUUGGUCCGUCCUGACUGAUGAUUUUACCGCGUAUUUGACUGAAAUCUAUUUGUCUCAUCAUUAUUUGGGCUGAAUGCCAUAUUUGGGCCUUGUGCCAACUAUUUGAACCCUUCGGGGAUUUUUAUUGAUAUUUACUCACUGUUUUAACUUCACACUUGAACUCAAUCAUGUUAUUUUCCACUAUUUUUAUACUCAGCCAUGUUUACUCUGUUUUAAGACUUAAAUGAUAUUUUUAAACGAUGUUUGGGCUGGGAAACACUGUUUUACUAUUGCCCGAGGGGCAUUUGAGGAUUUUUGACUGAAUAAGGCUGAGGGCCUAUGUUGUGAGGAAACACUGAUACUGAUAUGAGGCGGAGGGCCUAAGAUCUGUAUGCCACGAGGUGGCUUGAUUGAUAUGAGGCCGAGGGCCUAGUUUGAUGCCACGAGAUGGCUUGUUAUUAUGAUUGGGCCGUAAGGGGCCCCUCUAGGAGUCUGUAUACCCACAAUGAGCGCGAGUACCCAUUGUGAUAUGAGAUUGAAUGGCCAAGGGGCUGGUACUGUUCUGAAAUGUUGCCCGAGGGGCGGGUUAUUGAUACUGUGCCCGAGGGGCGAACCUUAAUGUGAUUGUUUUUCUUAAUUGACUGUCAAUUACCUGCUUAAUCAUUGAAAAGGCUUUUUAUGAAACUACAUUUGAGAUAAAGAAUUUUACCUAUCUUUCACUGAUUUACUGAUUUUAUUUGGUUUUACUGCUUCAUUAUAGAAUACUUUGUGCCUUACGUGAUUUCUUGCAUUCAGUCUUUAUUUACAUUUGUUACUCACUGAGUUGGAGUACUCACUUUACUCCCUGCACCCCUGUGUACAGAUUCAGGCGUUGCUGAUCUUGCCAGUGCGAGUUGAGAGCUCCCGGCGGAUAUUUGGAGUGCACGAGGUAGCUGCUUGAC
rnacentral:lncRNA from 1 species